rnacentral:misc_RNA from 1 species
UCGUCUGCUAGUGUCCGAAAUAGAAAAUGUCAAUAUUGUGAAACUGGUGUUUUGAAAAGUAGCUGUAUUUAGUGAUUUGUAGGUUUUUUGGUACUUGUUCUUGAAUAGUUUUUAUUGAAAAUGGAAGAAGGUUAUGUAGACAUUAACAGCGUACCAACCCGAGUAAUAUCCAUGGGUGGUUGGAUCGUAGGGCAACCCAUUAAAAAAAAGCAUUUGAUUAUUGUAAUUCCAGGUAAUCCAGGGUUAAUUGGCUACUAUGAACAUUUCAUGAAAUCACUUUAUGAUGAAUUACUCGGUGAAUAUGUGAUAUGGGGUCUAGGCCAUGCAGGACAUGAUUUUCCCAACAAUGUAACAAUGCCAAGUGUAAAUGAUAAACCAGAGCUAUUCACUCUUGAUGGACAAGUGAAUCACAAAAUCAACUUUGUUGACACUUAUGUCCCUGCUGGUGUCAAUUUACACUUUAUCGGACACUCCAUCGGCGCCAAAAUUUGUGUAGAACUUGUAAAAAGAUAUCGGAGUAAACACAACGCCGCUGCCUACUUAUUAUUUCCUACUCUGGAGAGAAUGGCCCAGACUCCUAGUGGAAGAAAGUUGUGGCCUAUCUUAGGCCCGCUGAGAAAAGUUGUCGUAUUUGCUGCGUCAUUGCUUCAUCGGUUACCUGAGUCCUGGUUAACACCGGUCGUCGAAUGGGCCAUACGUUCGAAAGGAAGUCAUUUGGCCAUCGAAAGUUCGACGUCAUCGGGUAGUGCGCCGUCUGCAGUUCACGUAAACGUGAGAACGACCAUGAGGCUGCUACACCCACAAGCCUUAGAACGGUCUUUGUUCAUGGCUCACGACGAGCUCAAAGUGGUGGGUGAAUUGAACGCCGACGAUAUUCGUCUUCACAGCGACAGGCUAGUCCUGUAUUUCGGAACCAAAGAUCACUGGUGCCCUAUGGAGUACUGUCAAAAUUUGCAGCGCCAAGUCCCCGAAGCCAGGGCCAUUGUCUGCCCACACGGAUUCGAGCACGCAUUCGUCCUGCAAUCCAGCCAACAGAUGGCCACUAUCGUCAGUGGAUGGAUCAAAGAUCUUUCGUAGCAAUCUGUAUAAUCCUGGCUCAGCCCCGUCAGCGUCUUAACUCUCAGAAAUUUCUUCUUUCACAAUUGUCGAGUUGCGUUUCCUGGGUGGACGAACGACGACAAUGCAAAUCACUGGACAUUUACCUUUUUUUCCCACCUAUUUUUGGCUCAACCGGAAAUUCAGAAAAUUUUCAAAUUAUAUUUUGAGGGUUGGAAAUCACGUUUCAAAAUACUAUUAUAUUUGAAAUGGUAUAUUAUACACAUAUUAUAUUAAACCUUUCUUUUCAAAUAGUUGAUCCAUCAUGUUUUUACGUCCUUUGCACAAAAUAGUCGUCAAAAAAGCCAAUGAAGGAAAAACAAAUCGACCUCAACCCAAAAAUUCACUAAUUCGAACUUGAUGGAAGUAGUUAACAAGUUGGAUAUGGGGAGAUAAACAAAGCAUUCGUCAUUGUUUACGGGCUAACAUUAAGAAGGUUUAAAAGGGACGUUUAAAAGCACACAGGUUUCUUUUUUUUUCCUUAAUUUCUUCCAUAUUUUUUUUCUUUUCUUGGUGGCCCUUAAAUGGGUCAAACGGGUUCAAACAUUUCCGUCAAAAAAAAUUUAAAACCAAAAUUUGGGGAUUAUUUCUUUAGAGGUUACGUAUGCCAUUGCGAUACGUAAGUGACUAUAAAAAUGACACGAUCAUCACAACCACUCGCAAGCUCAGUCAUCAUUUUGGAAAAUAAUGAAAUAAGAAA